rnacentral:rRNA from 1 species
UGGGGAAUAUUGGACAAUGGGCGAAAGCCUGAUCCAGCCAUGCCGCAUGAGUGAAGAAGGCCUUUGGGUUGUAAAGCUCUUUUAGUGAGGAAGAUAAUGACGGUACUCACAGAAGAAGUCCUGGCUAACUCCGUGCCAGCAGCCGCGGUAAUACGGAGAGGGCUAGCGUUAUUCGGAAUUAUUGGGCGUAAAGGGCGCGUAGGCUGGUUAAUAAGUUAAAAGUGAAAUCCCGAGGCUUAACCUUGGAAUUGCUUUUAAAACUAUUAAUCUAGAGAUUGAAAGAGGAUAGAGGAAUUCCUGAUGUAGAGGUAAAAUUCGUAAAUAUUAGGAGGAACACCGGUGGCGAAGGCGUCUAUCUGGUUCAAAUCUGACGCUGGAGCGCGAAGGCGUGGGGAGCAAACA